rnacentral:rRNA from 1 species
GAUGAACGCUAGCGGCAGGCCUAACACAUGCAAGUCGAGGGGUAGAGGAAGCUUGCUUCCUUGAGACCGGCGCACGGGUGCGUAACGCGUAUGCAAUCUACCUUUUACAGAGGGAUAGCCCAGAGAAAUUUGGAUUAACACCUCAUAGUAUAUAUCAUUCGCAUGUUUGGUAUAUUAAAGUUCCAACGGUAAAAGAUGAGCAUGCGUCCCAUUAGUUAGUUGGUAAGGUAACGGCUUACCAAGACGAUGAUGGGUAGGGGUCCUGAGAGGGAGAUCCCCCACACUGGUACUGGGAAACGGACCAGACUCCUACGGGAGGCAGCAGUGAGGAAUAUUGGUCAAUGGACGCAAGUCUGAACCAGCCAUGCCGCGUGCAGGAAGACGGUCCUAUGGAUUGUAAACUGCUUUUGUACGGGAAGAAACACUCCUACGUGUAGGAGCUUGACGGUACCGUAAGAAUAAGGAUCGGCUAACUCCGUGCCAGCCGCCGCAGUAACAC